rnacentral:rRNA from 1 species
GACGAACGCUGGCGGCGUGCUUAACACAUGCAAGUCGAACGGUAAGGCCCUUCGGGGUACACGAGUGGCGAACGGGUGAGUAACACGUGGGUGAUCUGCCCUGCACUUCGGGAUAAGCCUGGGAAACUGGGUCUAAUACCGGAUAGGACCCUGGGAUGCAUGUCCUGGGGUGGAAAGCUUUUGCGGUGUGGGAUGGGCCCGCGGCCUAUAGGCUUGUUGGUGGGGUGAUGGCCUACCAAGGCGACGACGGGUAGCCGGCCUGAGAGGGUGACCGGCCACACUGGGACUGAGAUACGGACCAGACUCCUACGGGAGGCAGCAGUGGGGAAUAUUGCACAAUGGGCGCAAGCCUGAUGCAGCGACGCCGCGUGAGGGAUGACGGCCUUCGGGUUGUAAACCUCUUUCAGCACCGACGAAGCGCAAGUGACGGUAGGUGCAGAAGAAGGACCGGCCAACUACGUGCCAGCCGCCGCGGUAA